rnacentral:rRNA from 1 species
GCCUAAUACAUGCAAGUCGAGCGAACAGACGAGGAGCUUGCUCCUCUGACGUUAGCGGCGGACGGGUGAGUAACACGUGGAUAACCUACCUAUAAUGACUGGGAUAACUUCGGGAAACCGGAGCUAAUACCGGAUAACAUGUUGAACCGCAUGGUUCAACAGUGAAAGACGGUCUUGCUGUCACUUAUAGAUGGAUCCACGCCGCAUUAGCUAGUUGGUAGGGUAACGGCUUACCAAGGCAACGAUGCGUAGCCGACCUGAGAGGGUGAUCGGCCACACUGGAACUGAGACACGGUCCAGACUCCUACGGGAGGCAGCAGUAUGGAAUCUUCCGCAAUGGGCUGAAAGCCUGACGGAGCAACGCCGCGUGAGUGAAGAAGGUCUUCGGAUCGUAAAACUCUGUUAUUAGGGAAGAACGAUGUGUAAGUAACUAUGCGCGUCUUGACGGUACCUAAUCACAAAGCCACGGCUAACUACGUGCCAGCAGCCGCGGUAAUACGUAGGUGGCAAGCGUUAUCCGGAAUUAUUGGGCGUAAAGCGCGCGUAGGCGGUUUUUUAAGUCUGAUGUGAAAGCUCACGGCUCAACCGUGGAGGGUCAUUGGAAACUGGAAAACUUGAGUGCAGAAGAGGAAAGUGGAAUUCCAUGUGUAGCGGUGAAAUGCUCAGAGAUAUGGAGGAACACCAGUGGCGAACGCUACUUUCUGGUCUGUAACUGACGCUGAUGUGCGAAAGCGUGGGGAUCAAACAGGAUUAGAUACCCUGGUAG